rnacentral:tRNA from 1 species
AGUUCUGUGGUGUAGUAGCACACUAGAUUGCAAACCUAGUAGCACAGAUUAACCCCUGUCAGAACUU